rnacentral:rRNA from 1 species
GAUGAACGCUGGCGGCGUGCCUAAUACAUGCAAGUCGAGCGAACAGACGAGAAGCUUGCUCCUCUGACGUUAGCGGCGGACGGGUGAGUAACACGUGGAUAACCUACCUAUAAGACUGGGAUAACUUCGGGAAACCGGAGCUAAUACCGGAUAAUAUAUUGAACCGCAUGGUUCAAUAGUGAAAGACGGUUUUGCUGUCACUUAUAGAUGGAUCCGCGCCGCAUUAGCUAGUUGGUAAGGUAACGGCUUACCAAGGCAACGAUGCGUAGCCGACCUGAGAGGGUGAUCGGCCAAACUGGAACUGAGACACGGUCCAGACUCCUACGGGAGGCAGCAGUAGGGAAUCUUCCGCAAUGGGCGAAAGCCUGACGGAGCAACGCCGCGUGAGUGAUGAAGGUCUUCGGAUCGUAAAACUCUGUUAUUAGGGAAGAACAAAUGUGUAAGUAACUAUGCACGUCUUGACGGUACCUAAUCAGAAAGCCACGGCUAACUACGU